AGCUGUACUCGGGCUCCUGAGCCGCCGCCACCCACAGCGCUGCGGGGCCGGGGGGUGGGAGACACGGGGAGAAGGGAGAGAAGGAGAAGGAGAAGAAGAAGAAGGGGGGACACGCGGUGAAGCCGAGCCCGCAGCCCCCUGCCCCGACGGCGGUGGGAGCGGGGCCGGGCGGUGGUUACCGAGAUGGGUAAGCAGAAACAGAGAGAUAGCGAGCGACUUGCCCUAAAGGUUAAACACCACGUCCGAAACAUAACCCAGGGCCCUCAGCUGAAGAAGCGGUGGCUGAGUUUCAUUAAAGAUGCCCAGGAAAUUAAACCAUUCUAGCUGCCCGGGCAGGUGUCAAUACAACAAAUCUGUUUGUCCUACUCAGAAGAAAUGUUUUAGCCUGCUUGUGGUUGGCGAGCUGCACCAGUAAACAGCAGAAAGGCAGCGGUGCUCCGCAGCAUCCUCCCUGUGCAUGUGCCACAGCAGCAUGUUUCACUUCCACUGGGUUCUUCUCUGUCCCAUAUUUUUUCUUUUUCUUUUUUUUUUUUUUUUUUUUUUUAUU